rnacentral:rRNA from 1 species
GCAAGUCGAACGGCAGCAUCAGAAAGCUUGCUUUCUGGAUGGCGAGUGGCGGACGGGUGAGUAACGCGUAGGAAUCUACCUUAGAGCGGGGGAUAACUCGAGGAAACUCGAGCUAAUACCGCAUGUGCCUUACGGGGUAAAGAGGGCCUCUUCUUGAAAGCUCUCACUCUAAGAUGAGCCUGCGUCAGAUUAGUUUGUUGGUGGGGUAAUGGCCUACCAAGACUACGAUCUGUAGCUGGUCUGAGAGGACGAUC